rnacentral:rRNA from 1 species
UACAGAGGUGGCAAGCGUUGUUCGGAAUUACUGGGCGUAAAGGGCGCGUAGGCGGCCCGUCAAGUCCCGUGUGAAAGCCCCCGGCUCAACCGGGGAACGGCGCGGGAAACUAGCAGGCUUGAGUUCGGGAGAGGGAAGCGGAAUUCCGGGUGUAGCGGUGAAGUGCGCAGAUAUCCGGAGGAACACCGGUGGCGAAGGCGGCUUACUGGUCCGGUUCUGACGCUGAGGCGCGAAAGCGUGGGGAGCAAACAGG